rnacentral:rRNA from 1 species
AAACGAUGCCAACCAGUAAUUCGCCUGAGUUCCUUAAAUGACUCGGCGAGGGACUUCCGGGAAACCAAAGUCUUUCGGUUCCAGGGGAAGUAUGGUUGCAAAGCUGAAACUUAAAGAAAUUGACGGAAGGGCACCACCAGGAGUGGAGCCUGCGGCUUAAUUUGACUCAACACGGGAAAGCUCACCCGGCCCGGACACUGGAAGGAUUGACAGAUUGAGAGCUCUUUCUUGAUUCAGUGGGUGGUGGUGCAUGGCCGUUCUUAGUUGGUGGAGUGAUUUGUCUGGUUAAUUCCGAUAACGAACGAGACUCUAGCCUACUAAAUAGAUCGUCGGCUUACAAACGCCGACGAGACUUCUUAGAGGGACAGGCGGCGAUUCAGCCGCACGAAACAGAGCAAUAACAGGUCUGUGAUGCCCUUAGAUGUCCGGGGCCGCACGCGCGCUACACUGAAGGAAUCAGCGUGCUAAAACCAUUGUCGAAAGGCAUUGGUAAACCCCUCAAAAUCCUACGUGAUUGGGAUCGGGAAUUGCAAUUAUUUCCCUUGAACGAGGAAUUCCCAGUAAGUGUGGGUCAUAAGCUCGCGUUGAUUACGUCCCUGCCCUUUGUACACACCGCCCGUCGCUGCCCGGGACUGAGCCGUUUCGAGAAAAGCGGG